AAGUCACCGAAAAAUCACCCAAAAAUCAUCGGAAAAACUCCCAGAACGUUCGAAUGAAGAAGAUAUACUCAGAUAUCUCGGUGAAAGUCUCAGAAAAGUAUCCGAUUUAGAUCGAAAUCGUCAUCGACCACAUACGUCAGAAACAUCCCCAAAAAUCUCAAAGGAUACUUCAACCAAGAUAACAAGAUGCAGAAAAACAUAGUCGGAUCAUCGUCUAGGCUCUGAUACCAUGAAAACUUUGAGAUUUAAACUGAAGAAUCAUGGAGAAUAUAGUGAGAGAAUUUAGAGAGAAGGAGGAGCAGUUGAGAGAACUCUCUAGAAGAGAGAGAAUUUUAUUAAUCAGAAAAUGAAAGCCAAAAAACAUGGAGAUUUGAAGCAGAAAACAAGAGAUGAAGAUGAACAGUGAGAAUGAGAGAGAGAGAGAGAUGAGAACCUUCUGGUGGAAACCCGAGAAGGAAAAAUGAAUUCCUUAAUAAAAAUAUCUGAUACAUGGCUAUAUAUACACCUAGAAUUGGGUCGGGUCAGACGGCCCAAUGACGAAAAUAAAAUGGGGCUCAGAUACAUAUUGGGCUCAGACACACAUUUAACCCAAACAACAAAUCAAUCAUCAUAGCCCACUCCCACCUAUACAAUGUAUACUAGAGAAUACAAUAAAUAUACAACGUAUAUACAGCGUAUACAAUUAUGUAAGCUCUUUUAUCUCAACACCUGUCAUAGCCCACUCCCACCUAUAUAAUGUAUACCAGAGAAUACAAUAAAUAUACAACGUAUAUACAGUGUGUACAAUCAUAUAAGCUCUUUCAUCUCAACA
rnacentral:lncRNA from 1 species